ACAAAUUAUUAGCCGCCAGAUCCGACCGACAAACUGGAAACCGCCUCAAUGUGUCGGUACGACUGCCUGGGGAUGUCGUACCCCUGCCCUGUUCAAAACGCUGGCGGAAUAGGCUUUUGUGGCUUAUCCUUCAGCGAUUUUUGUCAUCAAGCCGCAGACAUGGCAUCCACCUGUAUUUUUGAGGUUACAGACUUCCAGCUGUCAUCAUGCUCACAGGAUAGGAGAAGAAUGCCUAAAAUAUGCUCAUACUUGAGUUGAAAACAAAGAAUCACCCUCUAUGCCAAACCAAAUUGUUUGUGAGAUUAAAGCCAGGAUGACCACACCGGAAUAUGUAUACAUACAUGCAUAUUCAGGAGGUAAAAGCUUUCGUAGUUUGAAAAGAAAAACUUGUCUUAAUUGCAUCUUUGCCAUCGAAGUAGGACUGAGUUUCUGAACAAUGCUCAGUAAGGUUGGUUUGUAGGAGCCAACCAUGAUUAAUUUUGCUUGAUCAUAAUCAACUCUCUUGGCACCUGUUGAGAGGAUGAGGUCGCAGCUAGUUCAUCGGUUAUCUUCAGAGUCAGGUUUGAAAUAAUAGGCUUGAAGUUAAUUUAUUACAGGCUUAUUUACCUGCUUUCUUGUUUUUGAUUGCUUACAUGAAUGAAAUCCCUGGAUUUGUCAUUCAUGGAACUCUGUUUGAGCAAGGAAGGAAGCUUUCGUGUUUAUCGUGGUCAGUGUUGCAAAUACACAGCUGCACACCUGCAGUCAUGCAUUUCCUCGAUGAUAUGCAAUCAUAGUUUAAAAUCAAACUAUUAUUCAGGUUCUUCUCAUUCCUCCUCCGUUGGUUUCACUAUCCAUUUGGCAAAGGUUCAAAACUGCACGGUGAACGAUGAUGGCAAAGAUGGUUCUUCUGCUGAAUUUUGAGGAGACGAAGAAGCGUACUCUACUAGUAGUUGUUUUGGUUACCAGUCUGCAAAAGGCCCGGGUGGAAGUGUGCCGUAGCUUUAUGAUUGUGGGUUUGCUACUUGCUCGAGUCUCCCGACUGAUCUAUUUCAGCAGCGCGUGGAAGGAGGUAGUUGAAGGUGAUUUCUUCCCAAGCUGUCUGACCUUUGAAAACAAUUCCUCAGCAGUUGUUCUCCAUUUCAGAAUAUAAUUAGCAGCCUGAUAUCAUUCUUUUCUGAAGUUGGAAACAAAUGGGCUAUCUUUUUAGUUACUGGCAAAAUGUUUUUAGCCUCGCUGUAUCUCUGCUAUUCUGGAAGAUGGAGAAAUUUUUUGUGUUUUGCGGUAUCCAAAAUUGGAUGAAGACCUGAAAUGUCCAUUCUCUUGGAGGGGCUGAUACAGCAAUUACAUGAGAUUGAAUUUAUUUGGAAUCCAUAAUCCACACGUUAAGUAGUGUGACGUCGAGAACUUCAGUGGUGGUUUUAUUCUGUAAUCGAAUUAUGGAAUGUUUUGACGGGCAAAGUAUGAUCAAUAUGACUAUUA